GUCUACGGCCACACCACGUUGAAAGCACCAGUUCUCGUCCGAUCACUGAAGUUAAGCAACGUCGGGCUCGGUUAGUACUUGGAUGGGUGACCGCCUGGGAACACCGAGUGCUGUAGACU
rfam:Lottia gigantea unplaced genomic scaffold LOTGIsca_64, whole genome shotgun sequence.